CGUAUGGUGCGGCGGCGGCGGCGAUGGCACCGGAACAGCCUUGCCAGCCAUCCGGGCCUCGAGCUUGGCGAGUUUGGACGAUGACGGGUUGGAAUUAGACGAGAGGUGCUGCACUAUAUCCUCCCCCGCCGCCGACGAUCCCGACAUUGCCGCUGAUUUGCACCCAAACCGGAUCGGCCGCGCCACGGAAGCUUCCAGAACAAGCAAAAACCAACCGACGCACGCGCCAACCAGUCAGCUCAUCUCACUACGGCCGCCCAAGCACGCCCUCCUCAACGCAGCCACCGGAUGGAUCUACCCGCCGCUACACGAGGGGCACCCAACGGCGCGGCGGCGCGUGGACUCCUCGGCGGAGGAACGAACGAACGAGACCGGCCAAACCGAGCGGCUGCGCAGCUGCUGCCCGCCUCUUCCUCCUCCGCCCUGUUGACUCCCCCACCCCGCGUGCGCGGCGCCGGCUAGG
rnacentral:lncRNA from 1 species